rnacentral:rRNA from 1 species
UGGGGAAUUUUGGACAAUGGGCGCAAGCCUGAUCCAGCCAUGCCGCGUGAGUGAAGAAGGCCUUCGGGUUGUAAAGCUCUUUCGCGAGGGAAGAAAACGUACGGGCCAAUACCCUGUGCGGAUGACGGUACCUUGACAAGAAGCACCGGCUAACUACGUGCCAGCAGCCGCGGUAAUACGUAGGGUGCGAGCGUUAAUCGGAAUUACUGGGCGUAAAGCGUGCGCAGGCGGUUUGCUAAGACAGGUGUGAAAUCCCCGGGCUUAACCUGGGAACUGCGCUUGUGACUGGCAGGCUAGAGUACGGCAGAGGGGGGUGGAAUUCCACGUGUAGCAGUGAAAUGCGUAGAUAUGUGGAGGAACACCGAUGGCGAAGGCAGCCCCCUGGGCCUGUACUGACGCUCAUGCACGAAAGCGUGGGGAGCAA